UACGUAGGUGGCAAGCGUUGUCCGGAAUUAUUGGGCGUAAAGCGCGCGCAGGCGGUCCUUUAAGUCUGAUGUGAAAGCCCACGGCUCAACCGUGGAGGGUCAUUGGAAACUGGGGGACUUGAGUGCAGGAGAGAAGAGUGGAAUUCCACGUGUAGCGGUGAAAUGCGUAGAGAUCCGGAGGAACACCAGAGGCGAAGGCGGCCUACUGGGCUGCACCUGACGCUGAGCCGCGAAAGCCAGGGGAGCGAACGGG
rnacentral:rRNA from 1 species